rnacentral:rRNA from 1 species
CCUGGUAUGGGGGACAACGGUCUCGAAAGGAACGCUAAUACCGCAUACGUCCUACGGGAGAAAGCGGGGGACCUUCGGGGCCUUGCGCUAUCAGAUGAGCCUAGGUCGGAUUAGCUAGUUGGUGAGGUAACGGCUCACCAAGGCUGCGAUCCGUAACUGGUCUGAGAGGAUGAUCAGUCACACUGGAACUGAGACACGGUCCAGACUCCUACGGGAGGCAGCAGUGGGGAAUAUUGGACAAUGGGCGAAAGCCUGAUCCAGCCAUGCCGCGUGUGUGAAGAAGGUCUUCGGAUUGUAAAGCACUUUAAGUUGGGAGGAAGGGCAGUAAGUUAAUACCUUGCUGUUUUGACGUUACCGACAGAAUAAGCACCGGCUAACUUCGUGCCAGCAGCCGCGGUAAUACGAAGGGUGCAAGCGUUAAUCGGAAUUACUGGGCGUAAAGCGCGCGUAGGUGGUUUGUUAAGUUGGAAGUGAAAGCCCCGGGCUCAACCUGGGAACUGCUUUCAAAACUGGCAAGCUAGAGUAUGGCAGAGGGUGGUGAAAUUUCCUGUGUAG